rnacentral:tRNA from 1 species
ACCUUCGUGGUGUAACGGUAGCACACUCGGCUUGUAUUCGAGAGGUCCAAGUUGGAGUCCCGACUAAGGCA